CCUGGCCGGUGCCCCCCUCCUGCUCCGCUCCGGGAGCGAAACCGAGAGCUGAGUGUCCGAAGGGCUGCUUCCGCCGGGGGGCCGGGCUGGAUGGGGCCGGCGACUAAACCCGGGGAGCAGGUGGCCCCAGGCUGUCUCGCCGCCUCUCCCUUCUGAGGAGGAGACGAGUCCUGAGCGCCGCGGCGGGUCUGCGCAGGUGCAGCACUCAAAACAUGACCAACAAGAUACAUAGCCAAUGUUCAGAGCUAAUUUGGCUAGAACUGGAAUACAAUUGUCUACAGCAUAUCCACAAGGAAUCGGGAAAGUCAAUCUAAUGGCUAACAAGAAAGAACCUCCGUUCUUUAAUGAAGAUAACGUAGGACCAUUUUACUACAAGCUUCCUUUCUACGAGACUAUGGAGCUCUUCAUUGAGACAUUGACGGGGACAUGCUUUGAGUUGAGGGUUUCACCUUUUGAAACUGUCAUCUCUGUGAAAGCUAAAAUUCAAAGAUUAGAAGGCAUUCCUAUCUGUCAGCAACAUUUAAUUUGGAAUAACAUGGAGCUCGAAGAUGAUUAUUGCUUGAAUGAUUACAACAUUUCAGAAGGUUGUACCUUAAAACUGGUGUUAGCUAUGCGCGGUGGACCAAUAAAUACUAGAAGAGUUCCAGUGGAAGACCCUCUUAGGGAAAUGGCUGAAUACACGGACUCCAGUCGUGAUGAGGUCUGGGAGAAGUCCUCAUGCAACAAACAAGUCACCUUUUUGGUGUACCGAGAAGGAGAUCAGUUGAAUUUCUUCCGUGUAGUAGAUAGGGGAUAUGGCACUUUAACACCAUUAUCUGAAUCCUUAAGUGCUGGUUCAGUUUAUAAUUUAUAUACAGAUGAUGAUGAAGAAAUUGAGCCUUCUCCCUCUGGGCAACAGAUAAUUGAAAAUUCUAUCACUAUGAAUAAAAUGAAGCUACUGAAGGCAAAAAUGGAGACCAUGAACCUCAGUAAAAAGCCUAAGAAAACUGUCAAGGUAAAAUCUCGUCCACCUUUGGCUCCUCGACCUUCAAGUGGUUCAAUGGCAGCUGCUCGCCACAGAUUGUUGAGAGUACUCCCCCACAUUGGACAGUGUUGCCUGCCUCCACCUGGGAAUUCAUAUCCUGCUGAGCCUUCACAGAAUGCACUUUCAGCCUUGGCUACUUUGGCCACUACUGGUAGACCUAUACCAUCUCUCACUACUGAUUUCCUUAAGGAAGAUGAUAAUUGGGAGAGCACCACACUCUCCCAAUCAAUCAGUAGCAUUAAACUACCAGCUAAAGUAUCUCAUGUUGAAUUAGAAAGCACCAAACAGUCCAUCCCCGAUGCUGUCCUUCCUCUAGUGUCAUCUCUGUCCACACAGACAGAAACGUUUUCAGAAAAUUUAAUAUCUAAAACAGAGGAAGACACUGUUAUAUUUCCAAGUGUGGAGUUGUGUGCCACUGAAGAAUCUCUUUUACCUGAAAUGGAUGCGUUUGCUUUGUUAGCAGAAGAAAAUGUGGUGGAACAAUACAGUGAUCUGGAUGGCACAGAGAAGGUAAACCAGGACCUUGUACUGACCGAUGGGGAUAAAAAUAUUAAAACUCCAGAGCAGCAUCAUAAGCCUGUUGCGAGAAUGUUGAACUCUGAGGCCAUGGAAACUUCAAUUCUGAACCCUCGUGAAUUAAGCCCACAGAAGAACAGGCUUUUGUCACCUCUUCGGUAUUCUGCACCAAUAACACAUCACGGCUCUUUAGUGAAACCACAGAGACAGUCCAAAUGCUUUGAGACUGGUAGCCUCAGGUCCCCUGCCUCACAAAAUGUGUUUCGAUCGUUGGAUGUCCGAAAUAUAGCUGAUCCUUCCUUUCCUAGGACUACUAGAUUUCGUGGUGUUAAAGUUGACUCACCUGGUAAAAGAUCCAAUAUUAUUUCCAAAGGCGAGGCUCGGGACAUCACAGAAAUGGCUAACAGGGCAUCCAAAGAGCCUGUAGGUUCUGUAAACAACAUAGGUUUUCUUGCUUCGCUGGCACGAAGUGCAAGCAGAGACGGUUUACAGAGCUCGUGUGGGGCCAGCAGGCUUUGGACUUCUGCCAUUGCACUGUCUACAAAUCUCCAGCAUUUUCAGGAAGAAAGCCUUAGGAAAAGCUCUACCCAGAUUGAACCUGCUGACUUUUUUCUAUCUACCCAUGGGCUUGGAAUGAAUGGAAAUAAUACAUCAGCAGGGAAAAGAGUAGGUGAAACUACUCAUCAUCUUCCCCCUGUGAAAGCCCCUGUUCAGACCAAAAAGAAAACGUCCAAGCAUUGCUUUCUUUGUGGCAAGAAAACAGGACUAGCCACCAGCUAUGAAUGCAGGCAGGUUGCCUAGUUGGAAAAGUUGAAAUACUUUGUGUAGAGUGAUCCAGCUUGAGGAUUCUGCUGCCCUACUCCCACCCUCAAACCCUACCCCCUAAAAGCUCGAGUUUAAUUAUUUACAUUUCCAUUGUUGGGUGAUGUUAAAUUAAUUGACUUUAAUCAAACAGUGUUCUGCCUUCAUGACUGGCCUGAAAUAAUAGCCAGAGAGAAUGUUUAAGUCCUUGAAAAGCAACUGGGGCCCUGGAAACUCUUAGAUGCAUUAGCAGAAGAGUGUAGUUGAUUAAUUUUUAGCCUAAACCUCAGUAUGGGAAGAUAUGCUGUUAUUAGAGAAGAAACAUGUGGAGUUGAUAUUCAGUUUGUGAAAAUAAGGAAAAUUGCAUUUAUGAACUUUGGAAACAUAUUCACAGUUUUUUUCAUUUUCCAAUUCUACUUUCCCAAUGUAAAUUUUUAUCUUUUUGAAACUUAGUAUGACAAUAUAUUUUCUUUUUUUAAAAAAUGAACCUUCCUAUUAAAGAGAUCAGAGAUGAAGGGUUAAGAGUGGGGAAAUAAGUACAUUUUAAUUCUGUAUUUGCAUUGAAUUCUGAUUUUUUUUUCCUUUUCAUGAUGAUUAUUAUUUUUUAAUCCAUGUAAGUACCAGUCAGUCCAAUGAGAACUGCCUUCCUGGGGCUCACUCGGGCUAUGUAACUGAAAUUGCUUAACAGGAUUUUUAAUAUAUAUAUAUAAUUAUCUUUUUUAAAAAGUUGUAUUGAUGAUGCUCUUUGUCUUUCCUUACAUCCUGAGGUGAAGAGGACUUCAUCCUUCCCACGCUCUCUCCAGAUUGAACCUUCCGUUAUAACAAAGAACCUUACAUUAUAAGCAAAAUGGUCCCAUACUGUGGCUGCCCCUGUACUGAGUUCAGAGUUUCCCUCUUCCCCCUGCCAAGAUGUGGAAACAAUUUCUGUGCAACGCAUCGAUAUGCAGAAACACACGGCUGCACUUAUGAUUACAAGAGUGCAGGAAGGAGAU